UUCCGGUUGAUCCUGCCAGACCCGACUGCUAUCAGAGUGGGACUAAGCCAUGCGAGUCGACACAGCAAUGUGUGGCAUACGGCUCAGUAACACGUAGUCAACAUGCCCAGGGGACGUGGAUAACCUCGGGAAACUGAGGAUAAACCGCGAUAGGUCACUGCUUCUGGAAUGGGCAAGGACCCAAACCUACAUGGCCCCUGGAUUGGACUGCGGCCGAUCAGGCUGUUGGUGAGGUAAUGGCCCACCAAACCUGUUACCGGUACGGGCUCUGAGAGGAGGAGCCCGGAGAUGGGCACUGAGACAAGGGCCCAGGCCCUAUGGGGCGCAGCAGGCGCGAAACCUCUGNCAUAGGCGAAAGCCUGACAGGGUUACUCUGAGUGGUUUCCGCUAAGGGAACCUUUUGGC
rnacentral:rRNA from 1 species